AUUGAACGCUGGCGGCAUGCCUUACACAUGCAAGUCGAACGGCAGCAUAGGAGCUUGCUCCUGAUGGCGAGUGGCGAACGGGUGAGUAAUAUAUCGGAACGUGCCCUAGAGUGGGGGAUAACUAGUCGACAGACUAGCUAAUACCGCAUACGAUCUACGGAUGAAAGUGGGGGAUCGCAAGACCUCAUGCUCCUGGAGCGGCCGAUAUCGGAUUAGCUAGUUGGUGGGGUAAAAGCCUACCAAGGCAACGAUCAGUAGCUGGUCUGAGAGGACGACCAGCCACACUGGGACUGAGACACGGCCCAGACUCCUACGGGAGGCAGCAGUGGGGAAUUUUGGACAAUGGGGCAACCCUGAUCCAGCAAUGCCGCGUGAGUGAAGAAGGCCUUCGGGUUGUAAAGCUCUUUUGUCAGGGAAGAAACGGUAGUAGCGAAUAACUACUACUAAUGACGGUACCUGAAGAAUAAGCACCGGCUAACUACGUGCCAGCCGCCGCCGUAA
rnacentral:rRNA from 1 species